AUCCAAGAACACUUAAAUCAGUGUAAAUUACGUUAUAUCAGACACAGACUGCUGUUGUAGAUAAGUGUUAACGUUUCCAGCGUCGCGGCUCCGAACCAUAAUGUUAGUUGGGACAGAGCCAUUGUUUCUUUAGGGUAACUUUAUUAGCUUUAGCCUGGCUUGUAGCAGCUUUCUGCGGUGAAAAAUGGCCGUGAGAUGUCGUGAUUACAUUGCAUUAAUCAGGUGAUUUAGUUUGUCUUUGCAGUGAACAUAAAAAACUGACUACUGUAGCUUCACUACCCAUGGAAAAGCAUGUGCAUCACUGCAUCAGCGGCAGCUGCCGCUUACGGUACUUUUCUACACACGGAGAGCCUCACUUCCCUUAACAAACCCUGUCGGACUAACGUUACGUCACAUACACACGUUGCCCACAUGGCCACCUGUCUUAAAGGAGAAGGGUCGGCCGUAACAAUCAUGUAAAAGGAGAACGGUGAAAGUUUACUUUUUUAUCAAGCAGCAAAGAAGUUGUAGCAUCAACAUCGCAACGUCCUGCGAUGUGACUCUCGUGCAUGUGCACAUCACGAUGUAGAC